CAAAACCUUUUCAAAAAUAUAAUAACUAUAACAAAAUGCGGUUAAAUAAGUUUAAAAAAUAUGAAAUAUCAUACUUUUUAAAUUCAUUUAACCGCAUUUUAUUAUAGUCUAUUAAAGUAAUAAGGGAAUAAUACAGGAUCUAAGAGUAAUGGAAUAUGGCGCUAACAAUGGCAUAAAAAAGAAAAUCCAGUUAUCACCAUUACAAUGACAAACAAACUAAGUUUGCUUACGCUGCACUUUAAAACCUCAAUUUGCAUUGUACUUUAAUUUAGUUUUCUAUUUGUAGCAUGUAUUUGCUCAAAAGAAUUUUUUGCCUGGCCUUAGUUAAAUCAGUUAUAUUGAUUAACAACUUUAAGAUUUAUAGUUGAGUCGAAAUGGAAAAGGAAGGAGAGAUUGCAUUUUUCUGUAGCUGAGUUGAUUUAUUUAUAAUUUGCAAAACCAAUAAAUAUUACUAUAAAACAAGUUUUUAAGUAUAGUGGAGACCGGGACUAGUUUGCAGCAUGGGUAAGUUGACAAACUGCGUUUAUCUUCAGAGCCUUACAUCAAAAAGUGACAAAUACCACACAGAACCUUCCUAAUUGUUGUGGCGCAGUUGUUACAGCGCUUGCUUUAUAAGCAGGAGAUCCAGGUUCGAAACGAGCUCUGGACAUAUAUUCGCGUCAAGGUCGGGAGGAGGCGUGAACUUCCAGUUUAAAUGCACUUCCGCGGUGUUCUGUGACAAGACCGUUAGGUCUUCUUGGGACACCUAAAUAACAAAAAAAAAAAAAAAAAAUGUACCAUUUCAUUAUUUACUAUAGUAUUGUUAGGAUUUGCUCAUACGCAUGGGAGAUAUUAAGAUUUAUGUAUUUUUCGGACAAAAAUGUAACUUUUGGAACAUCGCUUCCAAUUUACUUUACAAAGAAAAUAGUUUGUCGUAUGAAAAUAAAAACUCAUUGAAAAAAUUCCAGUCACAAUUGGUUUAUUAUUUCCAGUCAGACUUUUUUUCAAAGUUUUUCAGGAUCUAUAGACUGUUUAUUAAAAAAAGGUUUUCGGGGUAAGUUGGCAAAAUUUUCACAGGGUAAGU